ACAGGUGCACAUCACCAUGCCUGGCUAAUUUUUCUUAUUUCUUUGUAGACACAGAAUCUUGCUAUUUUUCCCAGGCUCAUCUUGAACUCCUAGCCUCAAGGAAUCCUUCGACCUCAGCUUCUCAGAGUGUGAAGAUUACAGAAGAGGAAACUGGGAACCAGAGCCGGGUUGGGGCCAUAUGCCAGUCUUCUUGAUUCUGCAGAGCCAACUACUUUAGACAUUAUCCUAACUCAUUCUUUGUGGAGACCACAAGGAAAUGACUGUUCAAUGCAUCCCAUGUGCUCCCUCCUACAUUUUGGAGCGAUCAAGAAAAAGAGUAGGCCUACUGCAAUCUGAUGUUGUGUCUCUUUCAUUCUAAUAUGGACAAUACCUACAAACUGUGACCUGAACUGUUCUUCCAUCACUGGAUAUCUCAGGGAGUGUGAGAAAACGUCACGGAACCAGGGACAAGGAAAAUCUAGUCUUUUACUCACGUGUUAGACACUCCCAUGCCUACUGCCGCAAUGCCUGCGAGCCCUCCCACCACUCCAGUGUCCUUUUGAGGAUCCCACAUUGAAUUUAGUUGUUAUUUCUUUGGGAAGAAUAUUUGCAUUUGGGAAAAUAGAAUCAAUGUGAGCCAUCCCACUUUCUUUUUCUACUCUUCGACAAGUCUUGUUUCUAAGGAAGAUUUUCUAAGAACUUGGGAGCAGUUAGCACUAUCAUUAA